AAAGCAGGACGUUAACAUGCAGGACACAGAAAGGUGUGGAUUUUUCAGCAGACCUUGAGUUUGUCCUUGUGGAGAAGUAACGUGUCCAGAUAGCACUGCACCUUCAUCAGAGUCAUGGAUAUUUGACUGUCCGGGAACAAAUGUACCGUGGCUGUUCCUCGAGGUCUGGCCUGGAUGGGACAGCCCAUCGUCUGAGCGAAGUACCUCACCAGUCCCUCCAAACUGGAGACGUCGGCCUGAAUCUGACUGAGCAGCUCUGUGAAGAGGUUCUGCAGCUCAAUGGUCAAAAGACCGAGGUCACGGCUGAUGCUUGUUAGUCCAUCAAUGGAAGGAGUUCGGACUUCUAUAUGUGUAGCCACCGGCAACUAAGGACAAGAAGAAAAUUGCCGCUGCUCCUGAAUCACUGAAUGACAGAGAGAUGACACACGCCUCUCUGCAGGUUUUCCCCAGUUUAAAUAGUCCUGGUCCUGCUGGGGUCCAUUCCGCGUCUCUCUCCUCCUCCCCCCUCCAAAUCUUAGCCUAACCUUCUAUCAACAAGCUCCAAAUAUGAACAAAAUUCACACGUAAUUUAUCAAACUUAUCACAUGAUUAUGACUCAGUUGCUUUUGUUGCUUGUUUUUCCCGUAAGAGGAUUUCACUUGAUGAAUGGAUAUUUGCUGGUUUAAGCCUGUGUUUGAUGUUAACAAUGCAUCCUAAUUUUUAAGUACAGGAAAAUGUGUAGGUAGAUUUUUACUCAGAAUGGCAUCAUGCAGUGCAUACCUACUAAUACCCAUGUGCUCCAAUUACAAAUCAAUAAAGACUCUGACGAUAAGGUAGAGGAGAAAAGAACAUUUACAUACAUACAAUUUGUAAAGCCAUGUUUUUCAGGUGAAAUACAUGAGAAACUGGUAUACCAUAUGUAAUUUAGA